AUUCUCGGAUUCGGUUUUCAAAUUUCAAAAUUCCCAAAUUCAAAUAUUUAGCCAAAGCAGAUUCAUUGUGCACUUACUCUUCUACACUUCGUUCUCUCUCCCUCUCAAUUCCUUUACAUGCUCAACCAACAAUAGUUCCCUGGUGAAGUGUUUUGUUUUGAAAUCAUUCAUACCAGCAUACAAAAAGAGAGAGAAAGGGAGAGAGAGAAUGGGGGAGAAUAGUGAUGGUGGUACAUCUAGGGUUACCCCGACACUCGUGGUGACCAGAUCUGGCGACGUCUUCGGCAACAUCCUUGUACGUGUUCGUUUGGCAGUGUACAAGUGGACUUCCGGGUGAUGUCACUAUUGAGAUCGGAGAAACGUCGUUUCACCUCCAUAAGUUUCCUUUAAUCUCAAGAAGCGGGCUAUUAACAAGACUUAUUGGCGAUUUCUCAAAUGAAGACGAGCACGUAUGCAUUGUGCAUCUUGACGAGAUACCGGGUGGAUCGAAAUACGGGAUUCGACUAUUUAAAAAAAAUGAAGGGUUGUUGUUGGCAGAGAAAUAAUGGUUGCCAAAUAGGGACCUGGUGCUAAAAGAAUGUGAGUUCUCUAGCAAAAGUUUGAUCUCAAUCAUGAAGACUUUUCUUUGAUAUGUUUUUUUGGUCAUACUAGCAAUAGCUUGGUACACUUUUCAUGUCUUAUUCAUUCGAUGAUUUAUCGAUUUGAAUAUAAAAUCUUACAUCAUUUUUCCUAUCAAUUUGUUGGCGUUAAAUAAUUUGGGUUUAUAUAUUUCUAUACUUCGUUUGCUUUUAUUCACAAGGGAAGAAUACUAGAGCCAGUAGAAAAGUUGAAGGGGAGAUCAAGGAGCCGGAGUCUAAAGGUCUCAUCAACCAUCAUCUCAUGUAAUUUAUUUGGAACUGCUGGAGCAAAAUGUUAUAAACUCAAAUAAAGACAGGUGGGUUUGGAAUAACCCUUUGGGUGAUGAGUUGUCCGUGGAUUUUGUUCAAAAUCUGAUAGCGACCGCGAAUAACGAAGAUAAUGGUGGCAGUUGGCCUUUGUGGAACAGUUGGGCUCCCCAAAAAUAAACUUCUUCAUGUGGCAUGCGUCGUUAAAAUAAGAUUCCGUAAAAAGGAGCUAGCCGUGAGGGGUGUACGGAUUCAUAAUGGUUGGCUUAAGUGAUUCACAUGGUGGCUUAAUGUAUGGUUGCGGUGGCAAGUUUUAGUGUGGCUUAAAAUCCCAACUUCCCCAUGGGGAGUUUUCAUGCAACACGGUCUGGGGUCUUUUGUAGAAUCUGAACGGGUCAAGAGAUUGGAAGAAAGUGGUCAGUGUAGUCUUCAUGGAAACAUUGUGGCAAAUCUGGAAAGCGAGAAACGCGAAAGAAUUCGAAGGUUGCAACAUUCCGGUUGCGAAGGUCGUGGAGGAGAUUAAGAUGAACUUGUUUCUUUGGGUUAAAUGUAGAUCUAAAUAUCAUGUGGUUAACUGGGAUAGGUUGCAAAGGUCGUCGAGGAAAUUAAGAUGAACUUAAUGCGUGUUUGCUUGUUUGCUCAGGUUUUCAGUUUCUUUCUGGCUGGCCCGGUUUUCAAUAUAAUAUAUAGAAGUUUUUUCUGUUAAAAAAAUGUAAUAUAUUUUGUAGUGCUUGUACAAUUCAUGUCAAUUGGUAUAAAAACCGGUUGAAUUAUAAUAUUAUGAUGAACUAAUGUUUGAAAUUGGUGAAACGUGGUCAUUAUUUCAAUGGAUUUCCUACAUGUGAUGUAAGGAUAGACAAGUUUUGAGAGGUCGCGACGGGACGUGAAUUUGGAGUCUUGUGAUUAUACGGAUAUUUUUGAAAAUCACAUUGCCAUUUGAUCUGUUCACCGGUUCAACUUGCAUGAGUGAAUAAUCAAUGUUUGCUCUGGUUUAUUUGAUAUACACCAAUACACCAAUUUAUAAGCAUAUCCUCCAUUAAACUAUUUUACAGCUUAUAUAACUAUAGUUAUAUCAUUUAUAUCUUAUACAACCUCCACUAGACUACAUGUGU